GCUGAAAUAGCUCAGAUAGGAGAGCAUUAGACUGAAAAUCUAAAGGUCCCUGGUUCAACCCUGGGUUUUGGCA
rfam:Alligator mississippiensis ScZkoYb_6, whole genome shotgun sequence.